GUCGACGGGUAGCCGGCCUGAGAGGGUGACCGGCCACACUGGGACUGAGACACGGCCCAGACUCCUACGGGAGGCAGCAGUGGGGAAUAUUGCACAAUGGGCGAAAGCCUGAUGCAGCGACGCCGCGUGAGGGAUGACGGCCUUCGGGUUGUAAACCUCUUUCAGCAGGGACGAAGCGCAAGUGACGGUACCUGCAGAAGAAGCACCGGCUAACUACGUGCCAGCAGCCGCGGUAAUACGUAGGGUGCAAGCGUUGUCCGGAAUUACUGGGCGUAAAGAGCUCGUAGGCGGUUUGUCGCGUCUGUUGUGAAAUCCAGCAGCUCAACUGCUGGCUUGCAGGCGAUACGGGCAGACUUGAGUACUGCAGGGGAGACUGGAAUUCCUGGUGUAGCGGUGAAAUGCGCAGAUAUCAGGAGGAACACCGAUGGCGAAGGCAGAUCUCUGGGCAGUAACUGACGCUGAGGAACGAAAGCGUGGGUAGCGAACAGGAUUAGAUACCCUGGUAGUCCACGCCGUAAACGGUGGGCGCUAGGUGUGGGUUCCUUCCACGGAAUCCGUGCAGUAACUUACGCAUUAAGCGUCCCGCCUGGGGAAAGUACGGGA
rnacentral:rRNA from 1 species